rnacentral:Y_RNA from 1 species
GUCUGGUCCGAAGGUCGUGAGUUAUUUCACUUGAUUGCUCACAGUCUGUUACAGAUUGAAUUACUUGUUCUACUACUUUCCCCUCCUUCUCACUACCGCGCUUGACUAGUCCAAA